UACGUAGGUGGCAAGCGUUGUUCGGAAUUAUUGGGCGUAAAGGGUGCGUAGGCGGCGGAGUAAGUUGGGUGUGAAAUCCCGGGGCUCAACCUCGGAAUUGCAUUCAAUACUGCUUCGCUCGAGUACUGGAGAGGAGACUGGAAUUUACGGUGUAGCAGUGAAAUGCGUAGAGAUCGGGAGGAACACCAGAGGCGAAAGCGGCGACCUGGACAGGUACUGACACUCAACUACGAAAGCGUGGGGAGCAAACAGG
rnacentral:rRNA from 1 species